rnacentral:rRNA from 1 species
UACGUAGGUGGCAAGCGUUGUCCGGAAUUAUUGGGCGUAAAGCGCGUGUAGGCGGCUUUGCAAGUCGGGUGUGAAAGCCCUCGGCUCAACCGAGGAAGUGCGCCCGAAACUGCAGAGCUUGAGUGCCGGAGAGGAUGGCGGAAUUCCCCAAGUAGAGGUGAAAUUCGUAGAUAUGGGGAGGAACACCGGUGGCGAAGGCGGCCAUCUGGACGGUCACUGACGCUGAGACGCGAAAGCGUGGGGAGCAAACAGGG